ACUGUGGAGUGUACAUGAAUCUGCGAGUAGUAAAUCACUUAGUGAUUACCAAAGCAUACACAUUGAAGCAGUAA
rnacentral:sRNA from 12 species